UGAGGAAUAUUGGUCAAUGGACGAGAGUCUGAACCAGCCAAGUAGCGUGCAGGAUGACGGCCCUAUGGGUUGUAAACUGCUUUUGUUUGGGAAUAAUCGACAUUACGUGUAAUGUUUUGCAUGUACCAUUCGAAUAAGGAUCGGCUAAUUCCGUGCCAGCAGCCGCGGUAAUACGGAAGGUCCAGGCGUUAUCCGGAUUUAUUGGGUUUAAAGGGAGUGUAGGCGGUUGGUUAAGCGUGUUGUGAAAUGUAGAUGCUCAACAUCUGACUUGCAGCGCGAACUGGCUGACUUGAGUACACACAACGUAGGCGGGAUUCAUGGUGUAGCGGUGAAAUGCUUAGAUAUCAUGAAGAACUCCGAUUGCGAAGGCAGCUUACGGGAGUGUUACUGACGCUUAAGCUCGAAGGUGCGAGUAUCGAACAGG
rnacentral:rRNA from 1 species